GGUCUGCUCUCGGCUCGCCAUGGGACGGCCUGGUCAGGUUAGAUGGUGUGUUUUGGACUUUGGUGGGGUCGCGAGAAAGAUGGUUUUGGAUGAUCAAUGUACCUGUUUUGUUAGACUCUGUUGAAUGAUAUAAUAAAAAUGAUGGUGUGCAUCCUUGAAUGCCAAUGCCCUUUUCGAAAAAACCAUAUUGUAAGGACAGCCUGCUAUGAUUAUUGUCUGCCUUACUCGAUCUAUACAAACAGGCAAAAAAAAUCAAAUCUAUUUGAUGAUGAUUAUUAAGUAGUCAUAGGAGUUCUAGUUAGUGAGCUGAAUUCUGAGAAUAUCAGUCGUAUGCGGGUCCAGUAGGAUGAACGUAUGCACUUCAUACUCAUCAACCUUCUCAGAAGUCGGAAUCUACUCGGUGGUCUAUGUUGUUC
rnacentral:lncRNA from 1 species